GGUGUGAGCCACUGUGCCCGGCCACAGAAUGCAACUUUCUGUUUUGUUUUUAAGAGGCAAGCUCUCACUCCAUGGUCCAGUCUGGAGUGCAGUGGUUCAAUCACAGCUCACUGCAACCUCCAUCUCCUGGGCUGAAGCAAUCCUCCCACCUCAGUCUCCUCAGUAGCCGGGACUAUGGUCACUUGGCUAAUUUUGGGAACGUAACUUUGAUGUCAUGAUAUUUUGCAGGUGCCCGGCUCCUGGCUCUUGGACAGACAUGCACAGCUGCCUUGCUGCCUUCUAGACCAUUCUCGUUUCCAGCAGUGUUGCAUCAUGGGUUGCCUGCAUUCACUGUGAGUAACAACGUCUUUUGUCUCUGACCCAGGAAUCUCAUGUCUUCUGUCAGCAUCCAUGAAACUGGCAUGCUAAUUUGGUAAGUUGCAAGUAGGGUAAAAUCUCAGCCCCUUCACAGUUCUUAACAAGGUGACUUUUGGAAGGCAGGGGAGGGAGGAGGAGGGAUAUGGAUGGAAAGGAAGCAGAGAAACCAGUCAUCAGGCUGACUGUGGAAAUGGAGUGCAGUGGGCUGAUUUGGGAUUAUUUAGGAGGCAGAGUUUUUAGAUAUUGCCAACACAGGGGACAAGGGAAAGAGAGGAACUGAAGGUGUCCCCUAGUUUGUGGUUCAAGCAUCUGUACGGAUGAUGUUACUUAGCAAGAUGGGGAAGAUGAAUGGGGUGGGGGGAGUUUGAUGAGCAAGGUUGAGGGAUGAGGUUCUAUCUCUCUCCAUGACAAAAAGCAGGCUUCUAUGAAGCUAUCGUGAAGCUACUUUUUGGCUUUGGGAGGUCUGAGAUCCCCGUGAGACAACCAGGGAAGGUAUGAAGGUUUGAAGCUUGCAGAGAGGCCUGGGAUGGAGAUGGAGAUGUGGACUUGGUGAAAUGGAAGCCAUACGAUGGGAUAUUGGCCCAUUCCAGCCAGGAGCUGAGCCCCAUGUGUGUACUCUGCAGAACCUCCCAUGCUUUCUCGAGUGGGAAGAGCAGCUGGGUCUGAAGGUUCCUCUCCCGCUCCCAGUCCUCCCUAAACUCCCAGUAGCCACUCAGGUUCUGAAAUAUACUUUCCCUGGACCUAUCCUGAAGAAUGUCAUUUAGUGAAAAAGAGGGAUGCCCUAGAGCCAAAUGACCAGCGUUCAGGAUCCUUGGAAUCUAGACUGUACUGUCAGCUUGCCAUUAAGCACAUUAUUUUUUUAUGGCAGCCCAAGCAGACUAACAAACUAUCCAUCCUCAGUUUUGCUCAGGAAUUCUUAUUGUGUACUUACUCUGCGUCAGGCACUGUUCUAGGCUCUGUGGAAACAACAAUUAACCAAGCAAAAGUCUUUGUCAUCGUAGAGUUUGCAUUCCAGGGCAGAGGGGACAGACAAUGAAAAAAUAAUCAAAUGGAGAACCACAAAGCAGGGUGUGGUGGGGCCUGUGCUGGGCCACCAGGUGCCCAUUCUUCAGAACAGCAACCCUCAUUCCCCAUUCACUGGGAGCAUUGGCUGCCAAUGGCUGUCAGCUGAGUCCUUCUCUGCCAAUCGCCCUCAGCUGAAGAGAGCCACCUCAUGCAAGUUCAUCCUCACUUCCCGGGACAUCUGCAUCCAACGACUGGUUGAUGUGGGGAUAUAAAGGCCUUGCCUCAAUUUGGGACAAUUCAAAAUGGUCAUCCCAGGUCUAGAGUUCCCUGUGAGAAGCUCCCUGACUGGUUUCUUGGCUUCCUUUCCAUUCACACCCCAGCUUUCCGCCACUUUCCAAAAGUCAUUCUUUCAAGAACUUGUUAUGUAGUAGAGUUAGAAACUAGGAUGAACAGAUGGCUGUAUGGACGAAUGGAUGGGUGGAGGUAGGGAUGAAUG
rnacentral:lncRNA from 1 species